UGCUCAGAACAAAAUGUUUUGUUUGUAAAGCAAACGAUGUUCAUAGAAUCUUGAACUUUUCUUUAAAAUCAAAAGCUUUUUUAAAUAAAGUUUAAUAUCAUAAUAAUUUCCACAACUUUUUUACUAGUUGUUUGUUAUAUAGCCCAAAUGACAAGUGAAACUGCGAGCUACUGCUCACUGAUGAUACCCCCGCCGCAAGUGGAUAAUAUUAAUAGUGUAAAAAUAUGCAAGUGUUCGGUAAACAGGAAGUUGUCGAGUGAUGAAUCUGAAAACGCAUCACACGGUAUAGCUGACUUAUAUAAAUCCUGAAACCAAAUUUCAGAAAUCCUUGUAUUGUAGUUUCUGAGAAAAAUGUGACGAAAAUUUUCAACUUGGCUAUCAUGUGUAAAAUCAUACAAGUGUUCGGUAAACAGGAAGUUGUCAAGUGAUCAAUCUGAAAACGCAUCACACGGUACAGCUGACUUAGAUAACCCUGAAACCAAAUUUCAGAAAUCCUUGUAUUGUAGUUCCUGAGAAAAAUGCGACGAAAAAUAUUCAUGGGACGGACGGACUGACUGACGGACUGACGGACUAACGGAUAAACAGUAUACCCCCUUUUUUAAAGCGGGGGUAUAAAAUAUCAGAAUAAAAAGACUCACUUGACUUAAAUUUUUAUUUAAUAUUUUGCUGUUCUAGUAAAAAAAUCGAUCGUUCCGGAUGUAAGGUAAAACUAUUAAUAUUCUUUAGAAGCACAACAUACAAUGGCAUCUAUAAAGAAAUAUUUACAAUGAUGUGUUACAUACAUUCUUAAACAUUUAGAAAAAUAAAUAGAACAAUGAAGGUUACGGAAGCAGAAGUAUAAAAAUGAAGUAUUUAAUCUAUCAAUAACAGGACACAAUGUAAGAGAAAAAUAACGAUUUUAAUGGGACAAUUUAUUAAUUACCAUUCGACUGUUACAAUAUUCUAUACAUCCAACGUAGCAAGUUAAAUCACCUCACACGUUAAAGUCAUAAGAAACCUCAAAUCAAAAAAAAAUAAUGCAUAUGUUUUUUAUAACUCAAUGAAUAGUUUUCAUUGUAAAACUUAUGUACAUAUACUUUUUUCUGAAGAAAAUUCUUUAAUUUAUUCAUAUUUAGAAGAAGUUUACCUUAUUUGAAUUGCUUCCUUCCAGCAAGCAAUUCCCCCGAUAUAUUUUCCGUAUGCAAGGUGACCUCAGUGUGACCCAUCUCGUAAAAAUCCGGUGACCACAAUACGCAUGGAUGUCCUUAAAAUAAACUAUUAUCUGAAUUUACAUGUUAAACACGUGCUCAAUUUCCAUGCUUUUUUGUUUAUUUUUUGUCAAUUGUUGACAAACAGGUGACAAUCGUUAAACUUCGGCUUCAAAACACGAACUUUAAUUACCUGCCAUAUUUUCACAACAACACUGACCGAUUGAAAAAAAAAUUGACGAUUAUACGCAAUUUACACGAAAAAAUUGAAAAAUUUGAGCACAGAAGACUAAGUUUAUGAUGUUUGUAUGCAUUGGUUUAAGAAUUGGAAGAACAUUAUUUUUACCGGUCACUCGUUUCUUAUGACUUUAAACAUUGUAAUGUCAAUUUUUUUUCAGGUUUAAACUAUUUAUAUUCAAAUGUAUACAUAUUUUGGAGAAAAAAAAUAUCCGGAGAAAGUUUUAAAAAUAUCCUACUCAACAGCUUAAGAUCUCGUUAGAACGAAACAGGUCACGAGAGAUUAAUACAUUCAAAAAUAUUCUGAGCAGUUAUUUUGGAUUACCAAGUUUUAUUUAAAUUUAAAUUGUAUUUAAAAUAAAUAUUUAAAUGAUCCUUUCGUCCCUAAUUUUAUAAGAUUAAUAUAAGAUGUUAAAGUACUUAUGUUUUAAUACGUUCAGUUUUAUAUCAGCUGCAAUGUUUUUCACAACAGGAGUUUUCACAUAGAUUCUAAUAAGAGUUGUUAUAAAUAUUUGGCGCACUUUUCACACAAAAUGAUGACUACAUCGGUAAUAUUAAUUGAGGAAAGUCUUUUCGGUGUGAUAUAACUUCAUACGAUUUAAAUUUUAAAGUCAGUCAGUUGUCUUCACUUACCAUCUAACUUCGAUACAACAGGGUUGAUUUACGUUCAUUUUUCUGCGGAAUGAUCUCAGAAUGCAAUUAAAUUAUUCAAGCUUUCACAUCAACUAUUUUAGAUUCGUUAUAUUGAAUGGUUAGGUACACGCCAAAGUUCGAUUAAUAUAUAUGAAUAUGAAAUACAAUUGUUUCAAUAACAACUGAAGGCCUUUCCGACUUACAUAAAAUUGAGAAUGGAAAUAGGGAAUGUGUCAAAGAGACAACAACCCGACCAUAGAAAAAACAAGAGCAGAAGGUCAUCAACAGGUCUUCAAUGUAGCGAGAAAUUCCCGCACCCGGAGGCGUCCUUCAGCUGGUCCCUAAACAAGUAUAUACUAGUUCAGUGAUAAUGAAUUAUAUAAUAAAGGAGCAAAGACUGGCGUCCAGAAUAUGAACCAGCAUACAAUAAUUUCAGUUAUGUAAAAUUGAUAAAUCUGUUCGGCUAAACAUGUUGAUAUUUGAGGUUUGAAUGAAAUGUGUAGAGACAUGGAAAUAUAGUUUUUAGAAAGAAUAGUAACCUUUGUAAAUGAAAUAUCGUCAAACAAUAAUUGAUCUUGCAUUAAAUGUUUAAAAAAAAAAAAAAAAAGAAAGAAAAACAGUUAGACAUAAAGGAGAUGUUCACCAAUUCUUAAAAUAUAUGGUAACUUCUGGUGUCCAAAUGCCAAUUGUGUGGUCAUAUGAUAGCUUUCAUUACACCUUUGCUUUAAAAUCAUGAAAUAAUUUGCUGCUUCAACUUAACAAAUAUCACAUCCGGUUAGAAAUGAUACAUUGAAAUUUAAUAUGUAUUGUAAUAAUGCACGUUUACUUAUAAAAAUGUUGAACAAAAACGAUAUCAAGAAAAAACGGUAAACGGGAAGAUAAAUCCCAAAUGGAAAUACGUCCUGUUGAAAUUGGUGAGUUUCGAAAGCGCAUUAAUUUCAUUUGCCUAAUAACUUUACUGCAUGUUGAAAAAAUUCAUAAGCAGUAGUGGCGGGGGAAAAAAUAAACAGAACAAAAUCAAAAGGUCUUUUCAAGGAAAGACCACGAUGUCUAUGCACAUACAAAUUAAAAAGAACAACCGACACACGACAUUGUUUGCCUACUGACAUCGAAAGUGAAAAUACUCAUGAGCUUUUUUCAAAUCAAAAUUCGAAUUCGAAUAAAAAAGGAAAAAAACACUUAAAAAAAUAAACAAUAAAAUCUGUAGUUCACACUAUUUAUAAAACUAUGAUUAAGGUGGUACCUAACACUACAGGGGAUUAAUUCUGUUAAAUCAGCUAAACGUUUUAAUCACAUUGUAUUGUUAAGGAAAUAUUAAGCUUCUCGAUGAUCAAAAUAAGGGUUUGUCAAACUGCCAUAUCCAACCAAUUUUGUCCGAGAAAGUGGUGGCUCAAGUUUUUUGAAAUUUUUCUAUUUUUUUCAAAGGGUCAAAGCAAAUGUUAUAACAAAAUUUAAGUCAAGGCGUUGGGUACCACCUUAAGUGACUGAAUCCCACAAAUAAUGGUGAGGACAAAUUACCCAGAUGAGUAGUCAUUUUCUUCUUCUGGAAUAGCACAUGACGUACAUGUAUUGCUCGUAAAGAGUAAGACUCGAAUAACCCGUUUUCUGUUAAAAGUAAAGAAAAGGAGGACGAUGUGGUCACAGCAUACGAAACAUACACAUGGUCAUUUGUGAAACAGGUGUUCCAUAACAUUCACCUAGUUUCAAUUUGAAUAGGGACCAAGUCAGCUAUAUCAUUACGUAAGUUUGGGAAUAUGUCAUGAAUUUGGAGAUUUGCAUGUAAUAUGCAUAUGUCACUGAAAUUAUACAUCGUAAAUCAAGAAUUGUAUAGCGCAGUUUAAAAUCAUUUAUGCUUGUAGUCUAGAUCUACCAUCAUACUAUGAAAACACAAAUCUUCGAAGAGAAUUGCUUUUAACUCUUGUAUCAGGUUUAUCUAAAUAAUUUAAUGAUAUGUUAUGUACUAUGAUUAGUAGUAUACACUCAUUUAAAUUAAUACAUUAAUGAAA
rnacentral:lncRNA from 1 species